UGCAAUACCAUAGAGAUUCUUCUAAUCUAGCAGAUGACCUGCACUAUCAACCGCUGCUCUUGCUGGCUUUAAUGCCAUGCUUCACAAGAAAGGAGAUAUUAAUAUUGGUAAUCGGUGGUCCAAGGUGAAGGACAGCUUUAUUUCCUCGUCUAGAGAGGGAGGAAUUGAAUCGGCGCGAUAUGGUGACCAUCGAACAAGUUAGCGGCCAUGGAGACGAGGAGCAAAAGAAAAAUUUUCAGGAGAAUGGUAGUAGGGUCGGAGAGGUCCCUUCAUCAUAAUCAUCAAACCAGAGAAGGUGAAGGGUUCGAGACUGCAAGCGAAGGAGAAUAUAUAGAGAACGAUACCUCAAGCUAACGAUGCAAAAAGUGAGGGCAAUAAACUGUUUGGUGGUGGAAAUUAUGAAGAGGCAUCGACAUAAUAUGCGCUUGCUUUGGACCUCUGCCCAGAUUCGCCUUUAUCAUCCUAGAUUCGUUCCAUGUGUCAUGCUAACCGAGCUGUCUGCUUUUCAAAAUUGGGAAGAGAUACAGAGACGGUAAAAGAAUGCACGGAAGCAUUGAAGCUGAACCCUACGUAAAAGAAUGCACGGAAGCAUUGAAGCUGAACCCUACUUAUGUAAAAGCUGCAAAGCAGGAAGCUGGUCGUGCUGCAAAAGCUAGAGGAAAAAGAACAACCAGCUAAGCAUUGAUCUAAAAAAAUUGGGGAUGUUGCAGUAACCAAUCACGCAUCUGUCCAAACCAUGUGUAAUUGCUGAUAUCUUCUACCAUUAUGGAGGAUUCUGGCCUUUGUUGAAAAUGUCGAAAAAAAAGUAUCAUACAAGAUCCUUUCACUGGGACAUUGGUGUGCAGUUCUUGUGGGUUAGAGCAUGAUGGUACCAAUUUUGUGUCGCCUUUUGAAGGUUAUGGAGAAAAUCAGAGAAGCUUUGGACCAUCAGUGAAUCGCCCCACUUAUUUUAGCGCUGUAAUUAAUGGUCGUCGAAUCCAUAUUAAAGGAGAAUACAAUUACAAAGAUCAAAAGAAGGCUCAUGCUAAAAAAGCUCUUGAUGGAAUCAGUUCUGUGCUUGGACUAUCAGAAGCGAGAGUCUGUGAUGUGAAAGAGACGGUAGAAAGUAUCACGGAAGGGGAAUGGGGUAUGGGAAGAUGGUUUUCUGUGCUUAUUGGUGCCUGUGUUUGUGUGGUAGCCCGUAAGAAAAAGUUACCCUUCACUAUGACAAAGAUUUCGGCAGCUUCAAAUUGUGAUGUGGAUGAGGAGAAUGUACAUCAAAGUUCGGAAGUUUUUGGAUCUGCAACUGCUGUCAAAGAUCAAUCAAGUUAGACCAAAGAUAAACUGUCUCUAGGUUUCAAUGCUGGACAGAUUUUGAUUCCUCCUCUCAG